rnacentral:lncRNA from 1 species
GGUUUUGUCCAGUACUGAGGCUCCGAAUGAUCCUCCUCCGGUGCCUUCUCUUUCUGGGGCUCUACCGACUGCUGAAACUUCUCCUAAGCAACCUUUGUGAAGGCUCCCUCUUGUUUGUUUAUUUUGACUCAAGUAUAUGUACAUAUUUGUAACUUAUCGGGGAUAUCAAUAAAUAAGCUUUCCUUCAUUUCAACGUAUUGUGUUAAAUAC